rnacentral:rRNA from 1 species
UUCCGGUUGAUCCCGCCGGACCCCACUGCUAUCGAGAUGGGACUAAGGUAUGCUAGUCGAACGACCAGAACUAUGUCUGGGAGUGGCACACUGCUCAGUAACACGUAGCUAACCUACCCUUAGGACGUGGAUACCCCCGAGAAAUUGGGGUUAAUCCGCGAUAGAUGUAAUGUCCUGGAAUGGUAUUACGUCUAAAGGUAUUUCAUACAUGUUUGAAAUAUGCCUAAGGAUGGGGCUGCGGCCGAUCAGGCUGUUGGUGAGGUAAUGGCUCACCAAACCUUUGACCGGUACGGGCCAUGAGAGUGGUAGCCCGGAGAUGGACACUGAGACAAGGGUCCAGGCCCUAAGGGGCGCAGCAACCGCGAAACCUCCACAAUGCACUCACGUGCGAUGGGGCUAUCUCGAGUGCCACCUGAUGAAGGUGGCUUUUCCUUGGUCUUCAAAGCCUUGGGAAUAAGAGGGGGGCAAGACUGGUGUCAGCCGCCGCGGUAACACCAGCCCCUCGAGUGGUGGGGAUGAUUAUUUGGCCUAAAGCGUCCGUAGCCGGCCGUGAAAGUCUUCCGUUAAAUCCAGCGUCUCAAGCGUUGGACCGCGGGAGAUACUACAUGGCUAGAGAGUGGGAGAGGUCAGCGGUAUUCUGGGGGUAGGGGCGAAAUCCUUUGAUCCCCGGAGGACCACCAGUGGCGAAGGCUGCUGACUAGAACACGUCUGACGGUCAGGGACGAAAGCUGGGGUACGAACCGGAUUA